ACGUAUCCAACCUGCCGUCUACUCGUUGGACAGCCUUCUGAAGGAAGAUUAAUACAAGAUGGCAUCAUGGAGUCCGCAUGUUCACAUGAUUAAAGGUAUUCCGGUAGACGAUGGGGAUGCGUUCCGAUUAGAUAGUAGGCGGGGUAACGGCCCACCUAGUCUUCGAUGGAUAGGGGUUCUGAGAGGAAGGUCCCCCACAUUGGAACUGAGACACGGUCCAAACUCCUAGGGAGGCAGCAUG
rnacentral:rRNA from 1 species